rnacentral:rRNA from 1 species
GAUUGAACGCUGGCGGCAUGCCUUACACAUGCAAGUCGAACGGCAGCACGGAGCUUGCUCUGGUGGCGAGUGGCGAACGGGUGAGUAAUAUAUCGGAACGUACCCUAGAGUGGGGGAUAACGUAGCGAAAGUUACGCUAAUACCGCAUACGAUCUAAGGAUGAAAGUGGGGGAUCGCAAGACCUCAUGCUCGUGGAGCGGCCGAUAUCUGAUUAGCUAGUUGGUAGGGUAAAAGCCUACCAAGGCAUCGAUCAGUAGCUGGUCUGAGAGGACGACCAGCCACACUGGAACUGAGACACGGUCCAGACUCCUACGGGAGGCAGCAGUGGGGAAUUUUGGACAAUGGGCGAAAGCCUGAUCCAGCAAUGCCGCGUGAGUGAAGAAGGCCUUCGGGUUGUAAAGCUCUUUUGUCACGGAAGAAACGGUGAGAGCUAAUAUCUCUUGCUAAUGACGGUACCUGAAGAAUAAGCACCGGCUAACUACGUGCCAUCAGCCGCGGUAAUACGUAGGGUGCAAGCGUUAAUCGGAAUUACUGGGCGUAAAGCGUGCGCAGGCGGUUUUGUAAGUCUGAUGUGAAAUCCCCGGGCUCA